AGUGAACGCUGGCGGUAGGCCUAACACAUGCAAGUCGAACGGAAGCACAGUAAGCGCUUGCUCUUACGGGUGGCGAGUGGCGGACGGGUGAGGCAUACAUCGGAAUCUACUUUUUCGUGGGGGAUAACGGAGGGACACUUACGCUAAUACAGCAUACGACCUACGGGUGAAAGCAGGGGAUCAUCGGACCUUGCGCGAUUGCAUGAGCCGAUGUCGGAUUAGCUAGUUGGCGGGGUAAAGGCCCACCAAGGCGACGAUCCGUAGCGGGCCUGAGAGGAUGAUCAGCCACACUGGAACGGAGACACGGUCCAGACUCCUACGGGAGGCAGCAGUGGGGAAUAUUGGACAAUGGGCGCAAGCCUGAUGCAGCCAGACCGCGUGGGUGAAGAAGGCCUUCGGGUUGUAAAGCCCGUUUGGUGGGAAAGAAGAGCAGCAGGUUAAUACCCCGCUGUUCUGACGGUACCCAAAGAAUAAGCACCGGCUAACUUCGUG
rnacentral:rRNA from 1 species